UACGGGGGGGGCAAGCGUUGUUCGGAAUUACUGGGCGUAAAGGGCUCGUAGGUGGCCAACUAAGUCAGACGUGAAAUCCCUCGGCUUAACCGGGGAACUGCGUCUGAUACUGGAUGGCUAGAGAUUGGGAGAGGGAUGCGGAAUUCCAGGUGUAGCGGUGAAAUGCGUAGAUAUCUGGAGGAACACCGGUGGCGAAGGCGGCAUCCUGGACCGAUACUGACGCUGAGGAGCGAAAGCGUGGGGAGCAAACAGG
rnacentral:rRNA from 1 species